GUACACACCGCCCGUCGCUGUCCGGAACUGAGCUGUUUCGAGAAGACUGAGGACUGCUGUCUUGAGGCUUCGGCUUCUUUACGAUGGGAAUCAGUUUAAUCGCAAUGGCUUGAACCGGGCAAAAGUCGUAACAAGGUACCUGUAGGUGAACCUGCAGGUGGAUCAUCG
rnacentral:rRNA from 1 species